CCUACGGGAGGCAGCAGUGAGGAAUAUUGGUCAAUGGGCGCAAGCCUGAACCAGCCAAGUCGCGUGAGGGAAGACGGCCCUACGGGUUGUAAACCUCUUUUGCCGGGGAGCAACGGACGUCACGUGUAGCGGCACUGCGAGUACCCGAAGAGAAAGCAUCGGCUAACUCCGUGCCAGCAGCCGCGGUAAUACGGAGGAUGCGAGCGUUAUCCGGAUUUGUUGGGGUUAAAGGGUGCGUAGGCGGAACGGUAAGUCAGUGGUAAAAUUGAGGGGCUCAACCCCUGACCGCCAUUGAAACGGGCGUUCUUGAGUGGAAGAGAAGUAUGCGGAAUGCGUGGUGUAGCGGUGAAAUGCAUAGAUAUCAAGCAGAACACCGAUUGCGAAGGCAGCAUGCCGGCUUCCGACUGACGCUGAAGCACGAAAGCGUGGGGAUCGAACAGGAUUAGAUACCCCUGUAGUC
rnacentral:rRNA from 1 species